rnacentral:rRNA from 1 species
UACGAAGGGGGCUAGCGUUGUUCGGAAUUACUGGGCGUAAAGCGAGCGCAGGCGGUUUGAUUAGUAAGAAGUGAAAGCCUUGGGCUCAACCUGUGAACUGCUUUUGAUACUGUCAAGCUAGAAUAUGGGAGAGGAUAGUGGAAUUCUUGGUGUAGGGGUGAAAUCCGCAGAUAUCAAGAGGAAUACCAAUGGCGAAGGCAUCUAUCUGGAACAAUAUUUACGCUGAGGCUCGAAAGCGUGGGGAGCAAACAGG